CUUGAUGAUGCUUUGUUUAAUAGUUUUUCAUCUUUUCUGUGUGCAGGAGAUCACAAGCUGAAACGAAGAUCAGUCCCCACCAAUAACACAAGUCCUGCAGGGAAAACACAGUCUCAAGGUGAGCAUCUCAGAAAUGUAUUUCACACUCACUUGUUUUUCGCUCAAACUAUUUAUGUAAAAUG
rnacentral:lncRNA from 1 species